ensembl:snoRNA
ACAUGGGCAGGCACUAAUGGCAGGCCCUCCUCUGUGGGCCUCUCAUAGUGGACCCAUGCCAGAGGAGCAGGCAGCCCCGAACCAACCUCCUCACUGGUGGACUAUGAGCACAAAUGGGGAUGUCCAGUA